rnacentral:lncRNA from 1 species
GCUCCGUUUGGGACGAUCUUGAUCUUAUUGGAGUCCGUUUUUCGCCGCAAAUCUCGCUGUGGGCUCAACAUGGACUGAAUCUCAAUGUGUCAAAUUUUAAAAAAAACAUAAAGUUGAUCACAAGCAAUCGAAUCAAUCUUGGUUGUAUUGGUCAAGUUUGAUGUUAACCAAAACUAAGAAGCUAAAACUUACUCAAGGC